UACGGGGGGGCUAGCGUUGUUCGGAUUUACUGGGCGUAAAGCGCACGUAGGCGGGUUGUUAAGUCAGGGGUGAAAUCCUGGAGCUCAACUCCAGAACUGCCUUUGAUACUGGCAACCUAGAGGCUGGAAGAGGUUAGUGGAAUUCCCAGUGUAGAGGUGAAAUUCGUAGAUAUUGGGAAGAACACCGAUGGCGAAGGCAGCCAUCUGGACCGGCACUGACGCUGAGGCGCGAAAGCGUGGGGAGCAAACAGG
rnacentral:rRNA from 1 species